rnacentral:rRNA from 1 species
GAUGAACGCUGGCGGCGUGCCUAAUACAUGCAAGUCGAGCGAACAGACGAGGAGCUUGCUCCUUCGACGUUAGCGGCGGACGGGUGAGUAACACGUAGGUAACCUACCUAUAAGACUGGGAUAACUUCGGGAAACCGGAGCUAAUACCGGAUAAUAUUUCGAACCGCAUGGUUCGAUAGUGAAAGAUGGCUUUGCUAUCACUUAUAGAUGGACCUGCGCCGUAUUAGCUAGUUGGUAAGGUAACGGCUUACCAAGGCAACGAUACGUAGCCGACCUGAGAGGGUGAUCGGCCACACUGGAACUGAGACACGGUCCAGACUCCUACGGGAGGCAGCAGUAGGGAAUCUUCCGCAAUGGGCGAAAGCCUGACGGAGCAACGCCGCGUGAGUGAUGAAGGUCUUCGGAUCGUAAAACUCUGUUAUUAGGGAAGAACAAACGUGUAAGUAACUGUGCACGUCUUGACGGUACCUAAUCAGAUAGCCACGGCUAACUACGUG